UUUCCCAGGGUAAAAUUCUGGCUGGGACUUCCUUAGGUGAAGAUAGAAAGUCAUUAUUUCAUCCCUAAACUUGCAAAGCCAUCAUGGUUGAUACCCAGUUGUUAGAAAUGACUGAGUAUUCUCAAUUUGAAUGUUAAGCAACAAGAAAAGUGGCUCAUCUUUGUAUUUGUGUAAUUGUCGAUUCUAAUGGAAUCCACCUUUUAAUUGAUGGCAAUAUUUCUUUGGUUGUUCUCACAUUUUUCUGUUCUUAGUCCUGAAAUCUUGAAAAAUGUGACUCGAAAUGGAAGAGAAUCUUGUCAAUGUGCAUGAGGCGUCAAGACAUGGUUGCCUUUGUUAUGCAAUUCAGGAUAGACUUCCUACUUAUUGAACAGGGAUGGCCAGAAUCAGUGAGUUAACUUGAUUGAAAGAAAUCUAUGAUCAAGAGAGUCAUUUUACCAAUAGAAAUUACAAUAUGAUUACCUCUGGACAUAUCAUCAUCAACAACACUGAGAAUCAAUUAUCCUCAAGAUAUCUUCAAAGGCGUGGCAUUUAUACAUAAUAGAUACCAUUGGCAAGUCCAUUCUUUCUCCUAUGCGACUUCAACACAGGUUAGUCUUUGGAUUAACGAAUUGAAAGACGCCUUAAGUUGAAGUAGCCAUACUGCUUGGUGGUGGAAUAUAACCAUGCAAGGUAAGAAAUCCGGUAUCAGUGAGAUUGCAACGAUAACUGAGUUAUGCAAACUCAUCAUAUGCAGUUCUGCACAUUGAUAUUCUUAGUGCGUGACCUCAGUCUACUGCAUUUGUUAAGAAUUAUCCUAUAUUUGGUAAUCCUGAAUUGGAUGUCCUGGGAGAAGAAAUAAGAAAAAAAAUAUAUUCUGAUACAUGCUGACAUGGUCUCGUGGUGUUGCGUCAAAACUGAUAUACUAUGUAUUGACAUGAAGAAAAAUUAAUUUUGAAAAGUUUGAAUGUUCUCCCA